UUGUUUCUUGAAGUAAUCAAGUGGGAGUUGGAGUGGGAGAGAUGUUCUUGAAGAGGUAUGUUCAUGAAAUUAGACAUUUAUCAUUUAUUUAUUUUGUUAAGGAGGCAGGGCAUUUAUUAUUUUAUUACUUGUUUUGGCUCCUUAUAUAAGCUACUUAGAUAUGAAAUUAUUAGGGUUUUGAAUGUAAUUCUCUUUUAUGCUAUGAUGUUAUUGUUUGGUUAAUAAUUUUUAGGGUAAUUAACAGUUUUACAAAAUAAUUAGCGACAAAUCCCCCACCCCAAGAUAGACAUAACAGUUUGUUUAUUAUAUUGAUGCUCAAAUUGCAUGAUUUUGUGGACAUUGCACUAUUGCAGACAAUUCUCCCAUUAGGGUAUUUUUUUUAGCGCAUAAACAAAAGAAACUUCACACUGUGUUGCAAGUAAUAACUCUUGAACUAAUAAGUUUGUGUGUGAUUUGUUAGAAUGUACUUGUGAUUCUGUUCUUAUCAUGUCAUAACUGAAUGUAGCUUUAGAUAGUGUAGUGUGGGACAACAAAAUCAUUGGACACAGUUUCUGACAUAAACUAUGUCUAGUUAGAUGUUAUAUUGUAGGUUUAUGGAAAAUGAUAUGGGACAAGAGGUUUGAUAGGUUAGGGUUCAGAAGUAUGACUAAUCGUGAGAAAUGUAGAUAGUUUAAGAAAAAAAAAUAUAAGGCUGGUCAAUUUACAACUUUAUUUUGCUCAACGCACUGGUGGAUGCAUAAAAGAGGAGUUAUUUUAUCAGCCGGAGAUUGCUAGAAAGAUAUGGACCACAGUGUUGUGUCAAGACCUAUUUCUGGAAGUGGAACAGCACUCUGUCCAUCUUUGUUUAAGGGAACAUGUGACACAUUCCACCCCUUUCUGCAUGUGAAUCCUACGUUGUUGUUCCUAAAGAGGAAAAAAGAAUCAAUUAGUCAACACAUGAAACCUUCUAGGUCCCAACGGUUUCCAGGUCGGUAUUGGAAUUUCUUGCCUUGAACACAUAACCAUAGCCACUUUCAAUCAAAAGCAAGUGUGGUUAAAGGCGAUUCUUAUCAUAAUACACAUGUUGCCUGAGCUACCUACACUUUGUUGUUGAUGGUUCUUGUACCUAAAAGUUGAGUUUUGGUUGCUGAUAAUUCACUCUGUAAUUUAAAAGAUUAAAUUCUGAAAGAGUUACAAAGGAAAUAGGUUAAACGUACUUCAGACCAUUUUCAUAAACUAUCAUGCAUCACGAGAAUACACAUGAAGUUCAGAAAUAUAGAAGAUCUCAGUCAAAUAUAUGGUCAUUUCUACAGGAACAGAAUGCUUGAGAGUGAAUAUUUCAUGAAAUAAAUUAACACUGAAAUGUAAACGGGGACAUUGUAUUAAUUUGAUGUUUUACUAAUUAAAUGAAAUGUGUAGAGGUGAUAAUAACUAUAGAAGAUUCAUUUUUGUAUUUCUGCAAUGCACAUAUAUUAAUAAUCACUUUUCCCCUGAGAUUGUGCUUUCAAGUUUCAAGCAUUGUUCUUUUGGACUUGUAUUAUUUAUGGUUGGCUCUUUAAUCUUUAUACUAUGUUGAAUAUCUGCAGUAUCAAGCAGGUGACAUUUGGUGGGCAUCAUUUGCGUGUAGUGGGAGGGUCUCACUAGUUUAACGUAAAUGCUUCAGCAGCUUACUGUUCAUUUGAUGUAUUUCGUUCUUUGUAUCUUUGAUACAUGCUGACAUAAAUCCAUAAUCACAUGCAUCCAUCCUCUCUAUGAUCCUCUGCCAAUUUACAGCACGAAGAAAGUCUACCAGUUGUCUGAUAUGACCAGGUACAUGCUCUUAGUCCCAUAGCAGUCCACUUUAAGUGGUAAAUUAUUGGCAAUAGAACAAGGUUAUCCAGUAUAUCUAUGUGUCUGUAUGUGAAUAUCUAUAACAAGAAAUUUGCUGACCAGCAUAAUGUUAGUAUUAGUAAUAAUCAGGUCUAGUGCUUCAAAAAUGGAGAUUGUGCUUGGAUAUUUUGUUUGGGAGAAUAUGUUCUGUUUGAGCGUAGUGGGUUAAGUAAUAAACCAUUCAUGGGGCGAAUAAAGCAAUUCUAUAGAUCAAGGAUAUUGAUUUGGUUUAAAAGCUUGCAACUAGCCAACUAUGAAUUCAAAUCAGUUAUAAAGUAUAAAUUCCAAUCAAGUGGUGAAAGUGACCCUUGUUAAUAUGCAUCGAUAUCCUGUCCCCUUACUUCGCAUUUGAUUUUUUUGGUCUAACUGAAAUAGCAGAGGUAGAGGAAGGUUGGUAUUAUCCAUGACCCCUGCAACACUUUGACACAUCAUUUUCAACCGGUUGGGAUAAUGUCAGUUUGCUUAAGGAUGGAUCAGCAUUACUAUUCCCCAAAUAUGACAAUCUUGAAUUCGUUACGCCAUUUAAAAAAUGGAAUAUGACUAACAUAGAUAAAAACUUGUGCAGAAGAAUUUUUUUUAUCGAUGUUGUAGAGUCAGUGUGAACCCGUCAUAGUUCUUAUCUAUGAGCAUGGAAGGUUCUAGUUGGAAGCAAUUCGAGUGAUCUUUGACUGGUUAACAAUAUCUUCCUCAUAAAAAAAAAAAGUGAAAGCCUAAACUAUAAACUUUUUGGUAACCAUAUCUUUGACUAAUUAUUGGAAGCAAGAAGCUUUCUGUUAUGCAGAAGAAAGGAGAGUUGGGGAGCUAGUCAGUCAAAAAGAAAUAUAGGUAUAAGGGGGAAGUGGGGAGGAGCAAAGGAAAUGUAAGAUAUUGUGUCUUCAUGCAACCAUCGACACCAAGAUUAGUGAAGGCCACUUUGGAGAAAGUGCUUUGGCGGGUUUAACAAGAAAAAGACGAAAGAAUCAAGUAGUUAGAAUUUUUAUAAUGUCAUGAACUGCAUUUGCUGUGCUAUAAUUAUUCCAAGUUGGUGGUGAAAGAAGGGAUCAUUUGACGCACAAGAGACACACACAAAUUAGCAUGGACCACUCUUUCACAAUUAUGUAUCAAAACAUAUCCCCCGAUGUGGAAUGUAACACUAGUACCCUUUUUUUAGUCAAACUCUUAGAAUUUGACCAUUCUGUUUUAUUGGCAUGGUUUGAUAUUUUCUUAUACAAAACUAGGUCUGAACUUACAUUCUGAACAAAUGAAACUGCUAGGUUCUUCAUUUAUGUUCCAAUUAUCUGUUAUUUAUAUCAUAUAUGUCUAGAAUAACACUCUUUAUGAAGAGCAUGUUUUGUCUUACAUUAAUCCUUUAAAAAGAGAAUAGGUUGCAAAUCUCACUGCACAACACAUGGAAAACUUUGCGGUCCCCAUUAUUUUGUUAAUGUUGCUGGUAGUUUAUAUGAAAUGUGGUAGUGCUAGUACUUGAAAUGGAAGAAAACUAUGUUUAUUAUCAAUAUACUUGUACUCAGCACAGCUUCGCAUUUUCGUCUGUAGUACUACAUGCAACAGCACUCGUACCUCAUUUUUAGUCUCUUUGAGUUAAAAAUUAUCAGAAGUUCAGUUAUUUAUUCAAAUGUACAUAUGCAGAUAAAACAAACUCCGCCAGAGUUCCCUUUGAGGAGGAGAUAUUCAAAGAGAGCUGCCAACAUUUCAGACCUCAAAGGGAUCCUACGCGAUUUAAGAGGUUCUUAAUUUUUUUUUUUUGUUAACAAGGUUAUGUAAUUUUCAGAUUAGAAUCUAUGUAAUCAAACAUGUAAAAAAAACCCUGAUAUAUUCAGGUUUGCUUAUGCGACAAGACAAUAGAAGAUGGAAAGUUAAUUUAAAGCUUUUGACCCCCAAGCAUUUGGUGUAUCAGUGUAUCUAUGACAAUCAGGGAUAUUAUAUGCUCACAAGUUUCACAUACUGUAGUCAUUACCAUUUUUGCAAUAACUCAAAGUAUAGA
rnacentral:lncRNA from 1 species